rnacentral:lncRNA from 10 species
GGCACGGAGGCCCGAGCGAGGGACAAGACUCCGACUCCAGCUCUGACUUUUUUCGCGGCUCUCGGCUUCCACUGCAGCCAUGUCACUCCUCUUGCUGGUGGUCUCAGCCCUUCACAUCCUCAUUCUUAUACUGCUUUUCGUGGCCACUUUGGACAAGUCCUGGUGGACUCUCCCUGGGAAAGAGUCCCUGAAUCUCUGGUACGACUGCACGUGGAACAACGACACCAAAACAUGGGCCUGCAGUAAUGUCAGCGAGAAUGGUGAGGGGUGAGGGCGGCGGGACUGGUCUUCAAAGGGGAAGGUAAACCCUUCGUGUCCUCAUGGGACUGAGAAUUGGGAACCCUCCCCCAACAAAGUUGGAGUGGGCGGGGUCCAGGCCUGAGUGGCUGAGUGCCUAGGGCUAAUGCAUGUCCCGCCUGUCUGGAUGUACCUACCUC